ensembl:lncRNA
UCACAAAUUUAUUUAUGCUCGCGUAAUUUAAUCAUUUCCACAGCUGCUCAAAGCAAGUCAAAGUCGAGAAAGGACUUACAUCGUCGAGUCCAGUCCCCCUUAACUCCUCAUUCAUUCCACUAUUUCUCGAGCCAAGGAAUCGGGUGAAACCCAACACCGACUCGCAGUCUUCAGGUUUCACCCUCUUGCCCUGAGGGCAGCAUCCCAGCCCUGGGUGGUUCUCUGGUGUGGCCUCAGGAAACCGUGACGCGGUCCUCGGCCUUUUUGUCCCCAACAGGCUGCUGGCACACUUUGGGGUCUGAAAUGUCAUCUGCUUUGCCUAACCUGGGCAAGACCAUUCGCGUCCUUUCCCUUGAGGAGCAGCGUGGGGAAAGUUGCCGCUGCGCGCCACGUUUCUCCCACUUCCCCAGGGCUCCAGGGGGCGCUGGAGGCGGGCGGGGGUUAAUUCGCUGGCCGCCUGGCGUGGAGCAAUCCUAGAGAGUGGGCUCACCCUCGGGGCUCGGGAGGGGCUCUUCCCCGCCCAGAAGGAGACUGCGGCGGCGCAAGGCAUCCGGCAGGGGGCGCGGGCCGCUGGGCGUCCCCCCGGGCUGCGGGUCGGUGGUCCCUCCCAGGCCGCGUGUGCGGUGCGUUGGCUCAGCCCGCUCCCUGCCCCCACCUCACCUCGUCACCUCCCCGCCCUCUCGGCGGGCCCCUGAGGUGCGCGGCGCAGGCGCGGACCAAGGCGGCCAAGUCAGUGCGGCCGCGGAGCCUACGCCGGGGACCCGGCGCGCAGGGCGUGGGGCGCGCGGAGAGGGAGAAGGGUGGGCCCAACACAGCGUCCGGGAGCUCUAGGGCCGCAGCAGCGCUGCCCGCCACCGUGCGUCCGCGGGAAGGACCGCCCGGCCCCUCCGCCCGCGCUCCGGCACCUCGGCAGCCACCGCUUCUGAGCUGCGCGUGGGCCGGCCGGGCGGGCCCGAGGAGACUGACUGGCAUUUUUUACCAUCUACAGAAACUUAUUGUAAUUCAUUUUUCCUCACUCCAGUAG